UACGUAGGGGGCAAGCGUUGUCCGGAAUCAUUGGGCGUAAAGCGCGUGUAGGCGGUCCGGUAAGUCCGCUGUGAAAGUCCAGGGCUCAACCCUGGGAUGCCGGUGGAUACUGUCGGGCUCGAGUCCGGAAGAGGAGUGUGGAAUUCCUGGUGUAGCGGUGAAAUGCGCAGAUAUCAGGAGGAGCACCAAUGGCGAAGGCAGCACUCUGGGACGUGACUGACGCUGAGACGCGAAAGCGUGGGGAGCAAACAGG
rnacentral:rRNA from 1 species